rnacentral:rRNA from 1 species
UACGAAGGGGGCUAGCGUUGCUCGGAAUCACUGGGCGUAAAGGGUGCGUAGGCGGGUCUUUAAGUCAGGGGUGAAAUCCUGGAGCUCAACUCCAGAACUGCCUUUGAUACUGAGGAUCUUGAGUUCGGGAGAGGUGAGUGGAACUGCGAGUGUAGAGGUGAAAUUCGUAGAUAUUCGCAAGAACACCAGUGGCGAAGGCGGCUCACUGGCCCGAUACUGACGCUGAAGCACGAAAGCGUGGGAGCAACAGGGAUUAAGAUAC